AUGUCUGGUGCAGGAAAGGUUAGUAGAUUUAACAAGAAGGCAUUAAAAAUUGAUUUAAUAGAGCAGUAGCCUGGACUUCAGUAUGUAGCAUAAUUUCAGCAUUGCUCCAGGGUAAGUAUUCGAUUUUUACUUUUUUUUUUUUUUCUUUUUUUUUUUUUCAUUCCAUACUAAAUGAAACAGAUGCCUCUCAAUACACUUCUUUGGUAAACACACUCUGAGAAUCCUCCAUCCAAUUGUAAGUGAUUAUAUGGCUAAAAAUGCAGUCUGUAAUAGAGAAAACAGAUGCAGUGAUAAUUAUCCCCGUGCCCUGCACAUCAAACAUUAACUAUUGAUGGUGGAAGAAAAGAAGAAACCAAAACAGUGGGAUGUGCUGCACCAGAUCAGACUGUCAGUUCAGGUUGCCUGACACUGUCUUCAGAUAUGGCCUGAGCUUGAUAAUUUAUAAAGAAAUCAGGAAUGUUUCUUCGUAACAUUGCAAAUAAUGUAUAAUACUUCUUAGGUUCACUAUCAUUUGUUUGCACGUGAUUCUUGCCAGUCAGGCAUGGAACUCAGAGGGUCUUAAGGCUUCUAAUUAUUUCUUAUUUCAGGGUUUUUUUUAAAUUUAUCAUUUAUAUUUGAAUAUAUAUUUAUUUGAGUGUUUUAAAUCUACAACCUGAAUUUCCCGUGCAGUUUUACUGCCCCCAAAAGCAGUAGCCAGCUGUGCUCUGCCUUCAGUAAUACGGGAAUUGAAACGCCUCGAUAGGAAGUUUGAGGUUGGAUCACUGAAAUAAGUUUUGCCUGUGGCUGUUGCGGAAAAUUCCAUGUGGAUGUGCAAGCUUAUCGUCUGAUCUUCCAAGAUGCUGGUGAGUCUAGCGCUAGCCAGAGUGGCUAGCAUGUGUGCAAGAUCUUAGUCCAGGCUGGAAGGUUUAGUCCUUUGACUAAAAUCAUUGCAGCUGUUUCUGAUUGCUCUUGUUUUACCAUCACAUAGCUGAAAAUGAUUCAAUUUUAAAAUACAAGUGUCCAACAAAUAGCCUGCGAGAUGAUCUAAUCUCUUCUGCUAUGUUUUUCUGAUUCUUUUUAGAAGGGUUUCAAUACUGAAAAGGCGAAACUCCUCUCUGACAGGUAUUUGGCGCAGAUUCCCAUCAGCUAACUGGGACCAUCUAACCUACGAUGCCUAAGGGUCCUAAGGGUGCUCACCCAGCAUUAGCUGGGCUGACAGCUGGGCUGCUGCAGAUCCAAGCUGAUAGUCUCUCUUCCUCCUCUUGCCAGUCAGGAUGCAACAGGUACUUUUAGAGAGCAGUUCAGCCCCUCCUAAAAUAGGUGGGAAGAUUGUCUCCCACAGGUGCCUGUUUUGUCUCUGACUGUAAGAGGAGCCUGAAGAGCUGGCAUGAGCUGGAAACCUGACUUCUGGUGGCUUGGCUACCUGAGGUGAGUGCCACGCCGGUUAGCUUCGUUGUUCCCUUGGCUUCUGCUCAAGAUAGAGGAAAGACAGUCUCUUCCACAGGGUUUUUCAGUUCACCUGGGAGCUGAAUCUGCCCGUGGAAAGUGCUGGUUUUGCUUUGAAAUGGGCACCUCAGAGAGACAGUGUUAGGAUUAAACCAGUUUGUCUUCCUGCAGUCUUAUUCUGGAGGGAGAGAGGACUUCUUGCAGAGCCCCGGACCUCCGCCAGUUCACUAGAAAUCUCUCUCCGGGACCUGUUACUCUUCCGAAUAAGGCAGUCUGCAAGUGUUACCAUCUAUGGGACACAAAUGCCUUUCCAAAAGCUUUUGACAUACCAAGCUGGUUUUCUUCAUGAAGUGAAAGUAUGUGCUGUAUUGAUUAGAAAUAGUCUGCUGCGACAGCCGAACAUGGGCACUCAUGCCUGUAGACUUAACAAAGCGGGCUGCUUUUAUUUUGAAAACUAAAAGAAAUAAUAAAUUGUCGCUUGCCAACACAUCGCUCCGUAAAGGUGGCCUGGCUCGUGUUAAUCCUAGUCAUAUUAACACAAGCUAGAAGUAUGUGCCACCAUGUUCUGAUGUACAGAUGAAUCUGUUCAUCUCAUUCAGUUGCCCUCAAAGGUUGGCCAGUAAGGUCAAGCUGCUGUGCUAACCUGUUACUUCAGUUCCUCCUCAGCUGGUCCCGCUUUGGUCAGAAGGACACUCGUGGGAUGGACUCACUGAUCUGGAGCAGAGAAGCGUGACCCUGGAACACAAGGUAGCCAGAGGCUGGUGGUUAAAACAGGAAACUAAUGUAAUCUGCUUAUCAUUGACAGGGCACAGCAAUUUAUCAUCCUUCCAAAGUGAAAGCCUUGCUCAGUACAGAGGGAUGGGCUGAAGUUCCAUGGCCGAGGACGCUUAGGACACGCAAGUGUUCAGGAUUGCAUGAGCUAAUUAAUCAGCCUGCAAGAAACACUCAGAUGCUACAGCGAUAUAAAUUGAGCUGGCCAGGAAACUCUUCUCAUGUCUUUCAACUUUAUUGCACAUCAAGAUAAAGCAAUCUUUCGAAGGUUGUUUGGUGGAUUGGUAAUUGAAACAAAUACAUCCACAGAACAUCAUUUUGGUGAUUUGAAGAACAAAGAAGCAACGACCUUUUGUCUGCUGCUGUCAUUCCCUGCUUCACCAUUAAGGUACCUCCUCUGUUUUGACCUUGUCAUCACAUCAUUUCAGGUGAAGUCCAUUAGUGUUUGUAUUGUGGGAAAUGGUGAGUAACUGUUCUUUUGUUGCCUCUCCAUAUCCGUCACAACCCUACAUAUCACUGUUAUUGCUCAGUUAGAGUCUUCAUCUGCUUAACCUCUCCUUCCUCAAAAAUCAUCUCCUACUUUUAAGCAUCUUUGCGCAUUAUAUCACCCGAUUUGCAGCCCAGACAGGGGAGCAAGCAUGGAGCAAGUGCUGUGCUAUGCUGUGGUCCUCCGGCAUAUGCUGAGCUCGCCUCGGCCAUGGGCAGUUCCCUGACAUCUGGAGGGAGCAGGCAGCUCCUCCCAGCCCCUACUCUGCAGAAGUGCCCAAACUUCCGAAAUACUGACGUGCCAGGGGAAGGCAGGCAGGGACAAACUUUGUACGAUGGUGUGCCACGGGGCCAGCUCACCGGGAAAGUCAGCGUGCCUUGCCUGAGGCUGGGCAUAAACUUCUCCUUCCUCCUGGCAGGAGCACAGCUGUGAGAGGACAGGAGCCCCGGAGCAGAGCCCGGUGCCAGCUGUGUGCCCGGGAUGUGCUGGGGUGUGCUGCUGCCUGCGACUGCCCCAGCCCAGCGUGCCCUGGAGCUGGCUGCACUCCGUGUUCGGCUGCGGGUCCCUGUCCCACGCAUGCACUGUCCCAUGUGCCCACCACCCUGCUAUGGGGCCAUUCAUUCUCACCCAAGAGCCUUAAUGAACUAAUUACGUUCUAACUGUUGGGAUUUUUUAAAGGAAGGUGAGUGCUCACAGAUCAUCUCCCCAGCUAGGCAGAGUUCAACAGAGAGAGAGUUGUGUUGGGUUUCGUUGAGAAAUGCGAGUGAGAGCACGCUGCAGUUAUGUUCCCAGCCCAGCCUUGUUAUUUUUUAUGGUUCCCAUCCCCAGCAGAGGACAAUGGCUUCUGUUGCUCUUAACAGGGAAGCUGGUGUUUGACAGUACACUCCCAACAAUUCUGUUUUGUUUUUCUGUUUGGGUUUUUAUUUUACCGUUGAAGUUAGGAUUUUAGAUCUUUUUUGGUGGUGGUGGUGGUGUGUUUGUUUUUUUUUAAAUUGCUUCUUCCCCUCCUCCACACUUCAUUCUUUUGGCACAGGGCUGCCACUCACCAGCUGUUCACAAUUCCUUCACCCCUUCUGUUUUUCAGUACCACACUGCAUAGACUCAAAGGACAUUUUCUUCCUUGCAGAAGGCUUCCCAUGGCCAUUGAAUACAUUUAAUAAAAACAAUUUUCUCUCUCUUUCCUACCUUGGAGGAAAGUUAUUACAUCUGUACUCCUCACAUAAUUCAGACUGGCAAAUCUGUCACCCUCAAAUUGUGCGAGUUUUAUUUCUUGACUAGUUUUAGAUUCUAGGGUGACUGAUCUUCCUCCCUCCAUUACAGAGCAAGCUCAGCCACAGAGUGGGUGCUCCAUAAUUGCUAUCCAACAAACAAUUCACUCAUCAACUCUUAAAUCUGGUCUCCACUCCCUUACCGUUUCCAUUCUGGUUUUUGUAACCGGAUUUUUCUCCUAAGCUGAAACUUGACCAAAGAGCAGCACAUUCCCACACAUCAGCAAAUGGUACCCAAAAGAAAGAAAGUGGAAUGACAUUAUGAAGCUGUCGGUUACAGCAGAGUCAUCUGCUGAAGGAGGGAGAAUAGCUGUCGCUCAGUGAGGUGCAGAGCAUGGCAGCUCCCACUGCUGCUAAUGGGAGAACAGACUGCUGAGCUCCUCUCAGGAAGGUACUGUUUUAAUUUCUAAUUGAGUUAUUUGUUCACUUGUUAAAGAACUCCUCUCUUAAGGCAGUGACUUGCAAAUACAAUAAUAGUGGCCGCAUGCAGCCACCAGGGAAUUCAUUGCAGCCACAAGACAAAAACUUGCUCUGAUUGUUCAGUUCUGUUUUGACUUAAACUGUCAAAACUGUGGCCACCGUUAAUUUACUGUGAUGGCAUGUGUCACAGCUGCUUGUCUGAGAGUCACUGGUUAGUCCUGUCUCUCUUCCAGGCACUUGAGGCAGGAGUUUCCAAGCUGCAGUCUAAGGGACCAGGUCAAGUAGUCUGCAAAGCCAUACUAACAUCGCAUAUUGGCAUUGUCUCUCUAAUGUUUCACUUGAAAGUGCUUUGACAGGGAGUGUGACAGGCUGCAGGAAGCACCAGGGUGCUCCGUGACUCCAGAGGAAAUGGGGAUCAUCAAACUGACAGGUCCAGUUUGGUCUCUGAGCACAUCUCUGCCAGUCUCCACUCCCAGGUGACCAGUGCGUUCUGCUGACCAGGCUCCCUGUCACUGGCUUGCAUCUUCCAUAUCCAUCUUUGCCUAGGGAGCAACCUUACAGGCAUCAAAACAACCCCAAAACCUGUUUUUCUAAGGAACUGGCCAUGUCAGACUCUGUGCGUAAAAAGUAAAAGACCCCUCCAAAAGCUCCUAAUCCAAGAGCCUCUCGCAGCCUGAUUGACUCAAAACCAAUCCCCUCCAAAAAAGAUCCUACUGAUGAGGUGGGUUCUCUUUCAUUGCUGGUAGACAAGGACAAAAUCAAACACAUCAAACAUGCUUAGUUUCCAAAGGCAAAGUGGCAAAAUGUCGUGCAAAAGUAAUAUAUCUUUGCAUUACUUUUACUACUUUUACUACCUUCUUUUCUUGUCUUUUCAUUUGGUCCUUACUCAGCUUCUGGAGGAGCCACUGUGCAGGGAGAAUCACGAGCAGAUUUCUGUGGUAGGAAGUAAAGGAUAAAAUCUUCUCUGUUUUAUGGCACAACGUACUAUACCGUUCCCUUACCAUAAAACUUUUUAUGAGGAUACUGUUCCUCAUAUGAAACAGUUUUCUUUCCUGUAAAUGAUCAGCUUUGUAUUAUUUUUUUAUUAUUUUUCAACAUAACAUCAAACCCCUUGUUUUAACACCCUCCCCCUAAAGCCCAGCUUUAUAGAAGUAUUUGCUUGUAUAGCUUAGGGUGGUACUUGCAUGUGGUUCAAGGCUUGCAAAAAGUAACAAAAAAGAGCAAGAGAAACUCGGGUGCUUUAGCUUUAAGGAAAACCAUUGACUAUGGGCAAAUAUGAGUAAUAUCCUAACUGUGAGAUAAGAAGGUAUUGAUUUGCUAUUGGUGGACUAUAUUAGAACUGCUUGCAGAAGGUAAAUAGGGGACAUGUGAAAUUCCUGAGAUAUGACCAAGCAGCUGGUUAGAAAUACUACUUACAAAAUACUGCAGCCCAGGCAGAGCGGAGGCAUCCAGGAUAAGCUGAGCAACUGCUGACUAAGGGAAGUCAACAACAACCCAGGCGGGUCAAGAGCAGCGGUGGGGAGCAGACUGUGCUCCUGGGUUUGGGUCUCCCAGUGGGAAGCUGGGUUAGACUCCCUGUAGCCCUGCAGAAGAGGUGACAACUUCAGGACUGGUGAAACCUGGAUAAGGAGACACCACAGGCUGGCAUAUGAGUUGCUUUGUUUUAGGAAGAGAGUUUGAUCUUUCUGGCUCGUGAGCCCUUUCAGUAUUUGGAGAGACAGUCCAGGUAUGUGUGCACAUCUGUAGGACAUGUGCAGGGGGCUGGGUGUGCUCUCCGUGGCCAGAUCCGUGGUGUAGUGUCAGUCAGUACGACUGUUGCUGCUUGAACCUCUGUUUGUCUUCUCCACAAACGCUAGGGAGUCUCCAGGGUUGUGUGUGGUGAAGGUACCUGGGUCUGCAGCAUCUGCCAUGGCUGGUGGAGGUCACUGUUGUGCCUAUAAGGAUGAGAAUGCUCAUGGCUCACCUGAACAAAUCUCCUGGGGAAAAGAGGUGCUGUGUCCAUGGUAGAUGCCCUUGUUUGCUGGUGAUGGAGGAACACGCUGCUUGCACCAGGCUGCUGUGCCUGUCCCCAGCUGCUGACAGAGCCCCUUGUCUGCUGCCUCUGGUUCAUCUCGAGUGGGUGGUACAUGUGAUCAAAAUACACAGGUGGUGUAAAUCCCUGGAAGCCUUACUUACUGCUCCCUGACGUGUAGAGGCUGUGUUCAGGAAGCUGCCUGUGGGCAGCUGGGCCUGAAAGCCCAGACCCUUCCCAGGAUGGGGGAGGCAGUCCUUCCCUCUCCUUCCCUCUCUCAAGUGAAAAAAAAAAUAUAUAUGGGGCUUACUCUUGUUAAGGUUCCUUCUGGCAAGGGAAAUUUAGGAGCUUCUAAGAUAAGGCAGAAGCUAUGUAUGUGUUUUGGGUUUCUUUGUUUUCCAGUCGUUACUUUGGGAUUUUUUUAACACAGGUGCCUGCUUUGCCAAAGUCAAAACCUCUUCCAGUUCACAUCCCUCCUCCACCUCAAACACAAUGUAAUAAAACAGUGCUGGCUCAAAAUACCUGUGCCAUACUCCCUCAAACGCCACUAAGAACCCAUGUCUUCUGUGGCAAGUGACUUCCAAGGCUGAGACAUACACCUGUUUUGCAGGACACUGUGGGCUAAUAUUUGACAGGCGGGUGUACCCGUGGCACAGAGCUGCAAGGUCAGAGUAUGAAUCUUCAACUAAGCAAGUUCACCUUUAUCCACAACAGCUCCUGCUUUCAGCAGUGAAGGCAGUUCACAUACAGUGAAACUGCUGAAGAAAACCCAAAACCCAGGGUUUUUUGUCCCCCUAAUAAAUCUUAAGUUUGAAAAUGCACCAAGCCAACAGUGGCAUGAGGGCAGAGAGCAGCAGCACAUGAAUGCAAUACAGGCAGCUCUCAAUUGUGAAAUGAUUUGGAGGACAAAAGUCUUCUCUUUCAAGAAGGAUGAAGGUUUCUGACAUCUUAAGCCCAAAUCUGAUUUGACUUCAUCUGUUUCAUCACAAUUUUUUUUUUCCCCCACUUAUUUCUAGCACAUAUAGGAUGUGUGGAUUAGAAGAGACAGCUGGACUGGAGGAACCAAGCUGCAAAGUAUCCACGUCCGCUAACACCAAGCACAAGGGAGAGGCAUGUCUGCCUGUUUCUGAGCUCAUCCUAAAUCCCUCGCUCCCCGAGAAGUGCCGGGUGCUCAUGGGUGACACUGGGCUCCCUGCAGGUGAGGAGGAUGUUGGGGUGCAGGGCCAGGUCUGCUGACUUCUCACUGGUGGGAGGUCUGUGGUGACCCUGCCCUUCCAUGAGGGGGGGAGCUGGGGUGCAGCCUAGUGAACCCGUAGCAGCGCGCCAGUGUUCUGUGCUUGUGUAGCAUGUCCGAUACGAUCAGCUUUGUUUUCGAGUGCUGCUGUGGAGAUUUGCCAUGAACUUCUUCAUCGCGUCGUCAUGCUGUCCUCCUCCCCUCCCUGCCCUCCACCCCUUUAUCGGUGCCCCCUCCACCUUCCCCCUGCUCGAUCGCACUCAACAAGACAGUCUGAGUUUUCCAUAUCUACUUUUUUUUUUCCUUCUUCUUUUUUUUCUUUCCCCCCCUCUUUUGUCUUCUGGUAACAGUGUUUGGCAUUUCCCGGACAGCCCAUACUCCAUAAGGCCUCAGUGUCUGAAUACGAGGACGGCUUGAACGUUGCCUGCUGAGACUGAAGAAGAACUUGAGUUAAAAUAAUCCUCUCUUUUGUUCCGCUUGGGUUGCUUUUUGUUUGCCUGACAGAUGUUCGGCCCCUGUGCAUGUGCAUGGAGCAGCUCCUCCGCCGGGCCCUCUGAUCCGCCAGCUUAUUGAUUUCUGCCUAUCUGUGCGGCUUGUCUCCAGCCCUUACAGAUGCGAGGGUUGCGGCCGGGCGGCAGCCCCUCUCCUUUGCACACAAAUAGGGCCAUCUAUUGUGAGAGCCUUGCUCCCUCUUGAGCCGUUGUGACGAACUCAGGCCGUUUCGGGGGGCAGAGGGGAGAUGCGCAUCGAGCACUGAGACGCUGCGCUGUGUUUUGACGCAUCGUGACACGCUGUCGUGUGGGUGCCCGCGUCAACAGGAAGGCAGAGGCUGUGGGCAGAAAGGUCUCAGAGCCUUGCACUGUGCCUCAGUGUUAUCUCAAGUUCAUAUUUCAGUCACUUGACUGGUGGACAUAGGGAUCAAAGUUGUCACCAAGGAAAGCCUUGUACGCUGCGGUACUUGCCAUCGCCCGGCUCCUCCUCUGCAGCGUUGAGUUUCACUGAAUGGCCUCACCACGCAGUCACUGCAACUGGGGUUUUCAUCUUGCAAUUCACGGCCUUGCAAGCCACUUGUAAUGGUUCUCUUCUGUCUUGCUUUUUUUUUUUUGGUUUUGGCUUGAUUUUCUGCCUCCUGAGUAGUGGUGCAAAGACUGUCAGCAGAAAGGUGUCAGGGUGCUCUGCGAGGGAGGCACGCUGCAGACCUGCACCCACGUUUUGGCAUACAGUUGGAGGCUCACUUUGCUGUUGACAGCAGUUUAGCUUUUAUUUAACCCCUGACAUAUGUCUGCAGAGGUCUGACCCGCCACUGGCUCUGCUGCUCUGGAUGGAGUGUGGAAAUCGAGGUGCUUAUUUCAGUGCACUCAGCUGUCUCCCAUGCCCAUGCCCCUCGGAAGCAGUCACUGCGCGCACUGCCCACUGCAUCCCUCUCAUGGCGCCUGCAAUGCACACACAGAGUGAACGUGCUCUCAGGGCACAUCCCCUUCUCUGGGGCUGGGAUGAGGGCUCUAAGGGCAGCUCUGGGGGGUGAAGCUCCCACCCUGCCAACGCAUUACAUGCCUUGCACCUACGGCGAGCUCGCUGUCUGCAGACCAACUUUUCUGCCCCGUGCCACGUUGCCCUGCCUUCCCUCCCUCGCCCUGAAGCCUAUCACAUCUUGCUGUGCCUGCCGGAGCCUCUGGAUCUAUGACCACGCGAUGGCUACGAGUGGGAUGUCCUUUGAUUUCACUGAUGCUACUAGGCACUAAGCCGUCAUUUAAUGCCACAGUAGUUGGGCACCAGUUUAUUGAAAACUAGCUAGCAAUGUGUUAAUGACCUGUUGCUCGACAGGACUUUCAACCCACAAAAACAAAUACGGCCACGUUUGCAGGGCUGCAGAGUUCAUCUGUUCUCCUCCUGAAGUGAUGCUCUUUGCUUGCGAGGGUUGGGGUAGCUCGAUUUGGACUUGUUAAGGCAAAGCUCCCACUGACAUGUUGUAGUCUGUUGGAUCUUCCUGAGAGGCUGUCGGAGCUGGCAGCGCUGCUUCACAUGGUGUCAAGUGAUUUAUACUGACAUGAAAAGCAGGCAGGGAGUUUGCAGCCUGUGGUGGCCCGCGUUGCAGCUCCAGCUACGUUACUGUUACUGGAUCUGAGACUGAAACCACAGUGUGGUGCCUCCCAGUCCUCAGUGGAAUCUUCCCACCAACAGCCUACUGGGACAGGGCUCAGUCAGGGCUGAUGGUGAAGGAGGUGUCUGUGUAAUAAGUCUUUGAGUAAUGACUAGCAGUAGGCUGGGAACAGAGACUUGGACAGCAUCUGUAGGGCAGAGCAGAUGUUCCACACAGCCGUGUGAGCCCCCGCUGCCUGCAUCUCUCUCUGUGUACUACAGCAGCACCGUAGGGGUCUCCUUUGCUCUUGUGGGUGAGAUGAACAAAUAAAUGCUCCUCUCGGCAUCAGCUCAGGUCUUGAGAUUUCCUUCAGUGAUGUGUUAGUCAUGCAGUUCAAGUGGCGUGUGUUUAUGGGCCUUUAAUUUAGGGAAAGUCACAUUGACAAACCACGGCAGUAUCAGUAGCCAGCAACUUUCAAUACUCUCCUUUGUUACUUUUUGAUCCUUCUUGACCCAUACGUAAAAAUGAAGAAAAGGGGCUAAUUCGGAAAGAAAAAGCUGUGAAAAAUGCUUCCUGGUUUGACAAGUCGGGCCUUGCCAAGCCUGCUGGACCUUCAUUUUGGCUUCACUUUUGGUCAACAGGAGAGCAUUGUAACUGCUGAGAAUCACUCAACACGCACUCUGCAAAGGGAAUUUUGUCCUGGGAGUGUCACCCAGACACUCCAUUAGCUGGCUCGUGGCUUGAUGACAUUUAAGGUGUUGGGCUUAACCUGCUGAAAACAAGUGAUUUGGGGCUGAGGGUUCACAGAGCUUGCCUGUAGUAGCAAGCUGCGGGCAUGGCCAGAUUCCUAGUACAAACCAGGAGGGAGAGCAGGUGAUGUGUGAACGAUUCCCAACUGGAAGAUGAAGAUCCAUUGAUCAUCUGAAGUCAGGGCGUGGGGUGAUAAAAACUGCCUCGAGCUUUUGGGUAGGAAAUGCCUUGUGGGUGUGGGAGGAUCUGUGAAUACAGUCCUGUACGCCAGUCAGUAUCUGUAGGAUAACAUAAUGCACCACCUGGCACCAGCGAUUCUGUACACGUGUAUUUUUGCAAAGGCCACCUUAGACCUGUAGGCACUGUUAGACCAAUACGGUGGGGGGUAUGUAAAGCAGUUAUAUUCCAUAGAUGGUACCUGAAACCCAAGCUGUGCCCAUGCUGAGUGUUAGAAAGGGAAUAUCAGUAUUUAGAUUAAUUCCUUUGACUGGUCUUUCUGCCUUUACUUUCACAGCUCUUCCCCGUGCUCUGCACAGCCUGUGGGUGAUGUUGUUGUUUGCAGGGCUGUGUGCGAGCUAUUCGGUGACUUUUCUUUUAAAGCGGUUCUUUGAAAUGCUGCUGCUUCUGUAAUGGGGUUUGAGCACGGCUGCGUCACUGUUGUGAUGGUCUGUCAAGCCAUCUAAUUGGGUUGUCUCAUUAAAACUUACAAUCAGCGCUUACAAGGCAGCAAUCCUGUAGUCCAACACCGUAGCUAGAGCCACACUGGCUGACCAAGCGCCUGCAUGUGAUUUGCGAUGUGGAUGCAGAGGUCAGCAGGAAACUGUGUCUCUUGUGAACCCGUUCCACAGCUUCUAAGAUGAAGCUUGAACGUAUCAGACCACCUCUGACUUGACCUGCUCUGAAACGAGACCGUAGCUGGAGCAAUUCAGUUAAAAUCAAGAAACAGGUGGUUUUCAGUCUCCAGUUCAGAGUCAAGACUACUUCUGGGAUCUCGAACUGGACACUCAAGGGCCAUCCACUCGUCUCUGUUGGAUAGCUCAGCCUCAGUAUUCUUUUUGUUAGCAAGAACGUGAGGAGGAAAUGGUGCAAGAAGAGGGCAGAUUUGUGUAGUCUCUAAUAGAAACUAAAUUCUUGGAGUAGCUCCAAAAUGCAUUUUGGCUUUGAGUGGAAACAGUUUAUGAAAAAAACCUCUAUCUCUGCAGGUCAAAAUAUUAGUUAAGCCACUGCAAGUGCCUUCUCUUGAGAAGUCUAUUUCUUGCAUUGUUUUAAUCUGAGCCAACUAGGCAAAAGGACCUCACUUAUUUCACGAGUCUGAUUCAGUGUCCUUUUUUAAUUUUAACCGCAAUGAUGACUUCUAGCACCACAGUUAAAUUUACCUAGGAGCAUGAAUUGGAGCUCAGAGCUCCAUGUUUGUGGAGACAGUAAAAAUCAGUACAGCUUUUCUGCCAACAAUGGGCUUAAACUAAAAGAGGGGUUUAAACUAAACUGACAUAAAGCUCUCUUAACUGUUUGUGCAAGGAUUUUAUGGGUUAAAUUAGGCAUGUGAACACCUGCACAUAGAUGCUGCUUUGGCCACUGUGACUCCCCAGCUUCUCAGAGAAGAGCAUCUUGGCUGCUUGGUGCUUCACUGAGUUUGAUGGAGAGUGUCCCUUUGAUAAAGAAAUAUCUUAACAGAGGUGAAGGGCACUAUAGCCCCUGACUUCAAAGGCUGUAGAGACAAACAAAACACACUUGAUGGUUUAGAUGUAACAGCCUGCACUGAAGCAAGGUUUUCCUUCCCCUACCUGGCACAGAGAUCCCCACAUUGGACUUGUACAAGAAAAACCUAAGUGUCACCAUUGGCAACUUGUUUGGUCGUGGUUUUUAAAGAGCAGUUUAAUGUAAAAGUCCCACUAAGUACCAGCUGAAAACACUUUGCAUCACCCUUCAAAAUGUUUUUACUUCAAAUUUUGUGGGUUAGCUCAGGGUGAGCACUUCUCUUGGCUUUUGUGAAAAGCCAAAAAAACCCAGAGUUUGUGGCUUAUUUUAAAUCAUAGUAUGAAAACACACUGCACGGCUCUUCCAAAGACAAAUUAUCGUUCAUUUUCAAAAAUCCCAUCUAAUUGUCAUUAAUCAAGCCAUCCCCUGUGCUAAUAAGAUGGAGGCAGGGAAUGGAAUGCCAUUCCAGCUCAGGCAGCUGUUGCACAUGUCAACCAGUUUCAAAACGUUUGGCAAAAGUUGUAAAUGCAGUUCUAAUGAGAUCGACUUGUCUGCAACUAGCAAACAAAUACCAGCCGCACCAAAAUGUUUGUUUGCCAUGGGACUUAAUGGAGAUUGUGUUAACCAUUCUGCAUUCAAGGGUACAUGUCAAGAAAAGUUCAGAUCAAGCAUAAAGCAGUGACACUGGAAUGCAGCUUUCUCCAAAACGGUUGCUUGUAUAAAAUCUGAGGAAAAGCCUUCCCCUUCUCUUCCCCCCCUGACCCCAGGUCUCUUAACUUUCUGGUAUCUCAGUGCAUGACAUUCUUUGCAAAGGCUGCACAAGCAAGCUACAAACAGAAGUAUGUUUUCUACUGGGACGUUUGAGGAUAGGCUCCUGGUAGGGGACAGACUCCUGAAGCCACUCUACAGCAUCUCUCACCUCCCAGGUGCCCCCAGCUGGGUACAGCUCCGUCAGCAGCCCAGGUGGGUCAUGGAGAAGAAGAGGCACUCAGCUGGGCUACCCAGGGUCUCCAGUAUGAGAGUAUAACAUUGAAAGACCGAUCAACAGCUUGAUCAUCCACCAGGCCUGACAGCCAAGCUGAUUGCAGCCAGCUUUCACAGCGCCUGGUCGUAAACCCUGUUCAGCUAAGCCACCUCGGUGGGCCAGGCACUGCAGGAUGUCAUGCACCCACACCUGGGUGGCCACCUAGGUGAAUCAGCACAUCCGUGACUUCUUGUAGAACCACCAAGGAGAUCACCAAACUUGUGUGGCUGGAGAAAGGUAAGUAAUGGAAAUACCUAAAAGAGAAGUCAGGUCUCAGGUAAGCCAAAAGCACUUUACCCCAGCUAUGAAGUAUCUCUAACACUGUGGUACAGCUUGCAAUCUUCCACAUCUUGUUCUUCUUCCUCAGCAAAAAUGGGAAUCCUGUUUUUUAACUCCUGUUUUAUGGUUCUUUGAUCUAAAGUGCAAAGGACUGGUUGAAUUUUUGGUACCAUGACUACUUUCUUGCCAGCACCCCUUUAAUGUGUGUCUUGUGCCAAAGAAUAUUAAUUAUUGUAGGCUACAGUGAAGUCCAUCCCUACCCCCACUUGAGCCUCUGAAAUGAACAGUGAAGGAGAACGUUGCCAGCAACUGUUAGGAAAAGGGCCAAGAACAGCCUAACAGGAAAGAUACUGAGGAUUUUUUUGUUUGUUUUUCUGCUAAGCCAUGUUUUUGUAAUUAUGAAUACUUUGUUGAAAUUGCUGAGAAAAGGAAGCGCAUAUAAAAUGGUCCAUACAAUUAAACUAACUACAUAUUAGAGUUGAAAGGCUGCAAGGCUGGUCUCAACUCUGUUGCACUUACAUAGACAAAACCCGAUCUCAAAAGGAAUUUGGCUUGCGCAGGCAGAGCUGGAGACAAAUCUUAGUUAACUUCAGGCCCCUGUGCCAUAAUGUCUGGUUUACGACUGCCCCAAAUGGCCUGAAAGCAAAGGACAUUCACACUAAACAAAAGCAAUGUCUGAAAGAAAGAGAAAGAGGAAUUUGAAAGCUGCAUUUCCAAAUCCCUUCUACUCAAAAGCUGGCUCCUGACUCCCGAUCAGGAACUUUGAAGAACGCAGCAAUUACUUUAUGCUCCUAGAACUAUCUUCUACUAGACUGGAGAGAUCCAGGACUACUUUAUUUUGAUCAGAUUCACAUGAAUGCUGCUUUAAUCAUUCUCCACUUGCUCCUGCCACUUCUCCCCAAGCUUAGACUUGUAAAAUCCUGAAUCACUAAAUUGAGAUCACUCACCAAGGCAGCUUUCUCUUGCUUUCCAGGAUGGAUGAACCUGGGUUACCAAAAAAAAGUUUUUCAAGUGUGGGAAAUUACAGCUAUGUCCCCUAAUAUAUAAUGUAAAGAAGUAAGUUGCAGUAGGACCAAUUCAAACUGCUAUACCUCAAAUAGUGUUUUAUAAUUUCCAUUUAAACAGCGUUUUUAGGAAAUGGCAAUAAACCAGAAGCAUACUGCUCCUAACUCCCAUCACACUGAGACGUAUGUAGUGUUAGACAUAUCUCACUGUAAAAGGAAAAAUGUCAUCCUAGAGUGAGAAAGCUCAGUAUUUGGUUUAUAAAACAACAUUUUAUGAUUCAGCCUUAAGAAAGUCUUGGUUUUAGUUAAACGAAAAUUAAACUUAGCCUUGACUGAUACAGCAAAUGACUAAUAGUGAACUAAACUUUUAGAAGUAUAUGUGCAGUAUUUGUCCCAUCAAGCACUUUUAACUUUUCAUAGUAACAAGCCACCUUCACUGUACACAAAAUGGAUUUAAUGCAUAAACAAUACUGCUGAAAACAUGUCCAAAAAUAAAGCACAGUCUACUUUAUUACAAACUUAGUUUUUAAGGCCAAUUCUGACCUUGUACAGUCCUUAUAUAAGCAAAAGUAUGCUGCCAUUUGGCUGAAAUCAAAAUAAAGCCUCCCAUCUCCCCAGCAAACAGUUCCGCAAAGCACAUUAUAGUGGGAAACUGGUAAAGUAUGCAUGACUAUUUUUACCCACACCGUAAUUAUGUUGAAACCUGUGCUAGCAACUAACUAUUGCCAUCUUAAGGUGGCCCUUAGUAUUGCUGCAGAUGAAGUCGAGCUAGUUGUUGCCGCUACUGUGCAUCGCUCAUUAAAUACACUGUCACUCGCAAGUUCUUGAACAAGGUGGUUGAAGUGCUCGCUCCAAGACUAGCCCAAUGCUGCAGUACAGCUCUCUUUUGAAAGACAUACAUAACGGGUUUAACAUUAAGAAACGGCAUUGCAAGAUAAACAUUUUCCAUCUCCCUCCUUUCUCUUAACAUAAAAUUAUAUUGAAGACAUCUAAUCGCUGGCCAAGUAGAUCUGCCAAACCCAGGCCUCUGCUUCUAGCAACCCUAAGUGGUAUUGUUGCAUUUGUUUUCCUAGCCGUACCUCCGUAGCCUACCUGCCUAGACAGUUCUGUAACCAGAUAGUGCUCAAAGUGCUUCAUAAACUAUUAAUUUACAUUGUAGACAUGGUGCGAGAUGACUACUGACCUGAUUUAUACAUAGGAAGUACAAGCACAGAACUACGGAGAGUUGCAGGCAGUCAGGGCACUCCUGCCUUGCAGCCCUAGGCGAUGACGAUCUUCACAAAGCUAAGUAACUUGAUGGAUUAAUCAAAAAUCCUCUUGGUGCCUUUUAUCUAGAAGACACAUCUGUAAUUUUCAAACGUGUUUUAAUACUAAUGAGCAACCAACUUCUAGCUGAGCAGCCCGUGAACAUUUUUGUACUCACACAUCUUCUGCCAUUCCUGCAACUCCCAACUCUGAGCAUGAGUGGUGAUGAUAUCAGGGCAGGGCAUAACUGGGAAGUUAAAAACAAACUGGGAAACAAACGUUCCCAUGUCACUAGUCCCAAACCCAUCCACAGAGGGAGUGAAUGCAGUGCUACCUUCUUCUGUAGAAGAAAUUUGGUGGUUUGAGUCCAAUGGGCCUGUGAAAGAGUUUCCAUCCCCUGCUGGUUCUUCAGCCAGAUGUACUCUGCAGGGAAACGGAAAACUGAAAAGGAUAUAAAAUGGAUAUCUCAUCUGCACCAAGUGCUCCAGCAGGACAGCACUGACACACAGUGGCAGGAAAACUUGCAUCCCCUGUACCUGCUGUUGUAUCUCCUCUGAGAUUGCAAAUGAGACCUGAACGCUCUAAUCACCUCAUAUUUCUCCUAAACCACGUACAGAGACAAGCCUGGACACCUCAAACUAAAACAAGUUAUUCCUAAAGUCUGUCAGGCAUUCAUUUAUCUUGGAUGUAAAACUUUACCCUUAAAUACAACAGCAUGCUAAUUUAUCAAAAUUUUUUUUAAUUGAAUCACUGCAGUUCCUCUGCAUCUACACAUCUGCAUCCUGUGAGAACAUUAUAUUAAUGCAGGUACACAUUAGUGCCCUUGUUUGUUGCCCUUCCCUUCACUGUUUAGAUCUUGCAUAUUGCAGACCUGUCCCCAAAGGCUUGUUACCCUCAGCUGCUUUUCUUUGCAACUUGUACACUAUUUAGUUUCACUAGAAUUCACCAACUUUGCAUAAAGCUGUUAACAAUCUACUGUGAAACACUUGAGCAAUUCAACACAAACAUGGUAUCAAAAAUAGCUCAGCUUCAAGUGCUUUAAUUAAAUUUCAUAGAAGUAGCAGAGCAUGUAUUUAAUUUAGUAUUGCCGAUGUGUACUUCAAACAGACGCAAGAAUUCCGUUCUUAAGAGUUAUUGCACUGUGGGCAGUUUGCUAAGUAUAGAACAGCAUAUAGCUACACAGUCACUUACACAACUAACCUUGUCCAUUUAAGAUGACUUUUGCAAAUAAUGUUAAACACCCCACUAAGUUACCUGAACAUGUCUGGAUGUUCUGACUUGUGUGACAAGUGACUUCAGCCCCAGUGUCAUUCAGACUGAGGGCUGUGCUGCUUUCUUACUGCCAGACCACCCAGGACAGAGGUGUUUGUUCCCUCCUUAUUUUGCCCAACAGUGGCACCCAGUGGGCAAGGGUUUUCAUGAACACUUUGGGAAACGGCUGCUGUUCCAAGUUCCCAUCCCGGAUCUCCUGAACUAAAGCUAAAGUCAGUUUAAAUGCACAAGCUGUUUGACUGCUGAGGUUCAAAACUACUAAUUAAACGGUCUAGAAGGCUUGAGACUACCAUCGCUGGUGAAGACUAGCCAGAGCUAAGAAAAACGCACAGCACCUGAAAUGCUGCACUGAAAGCAGUCAGCCACGUCCAAACAGGAGACAAGGUUGCUGUAAGGUCAAACACAUCAGUAAAAUUGUUUUUUACAAGAACAAGUAUGCCACCUAAAGCAAUGAGGUAUUUUAUGUGUCCUUUUCUAAAUAGCUGCAGAAUAUGAAAGGAUUUCUGGGCAAUAAAAGAUUAUUUUGCCCUUGAUGACGCAGCUCUGCUUUUCUAAAGGUCCUAGUACUCAAGCCAAGUGGCGUGCGAUAGGGCACAUCAGUCUACACUUGAUGCAAUACCCCAAGAACCAAAAGCAGUAGUAGAACUAACAAAGCCCGCAGACAUUAAAAGGCAUUCAGGAAUGUCCAUACUAAGUUAUUUUCUAUCAGUAACUAGAAAAGGAUGAUGCUUCAGAUUUUGAGCAUUAACUGAACAGAAACGUGUAGAGGUGAGCCCAGAUGCAGAGUCCAGGACUAAACUCUAAAGAUUCCAUUUAACAUUCUUCCCUCUUGUACAGAGAAAUUGUUUUCAGGUGACUCAUAUUUAUAGUCUCUGUAAAUAAGUACAGAGAGGUCAAAUGUCAGGAUAGCAUGUCAGAGAGAUAAAGGAGAUCGGAAAAGCAAGCUAUGAAGUGCAGAGAAGGCAGCACGUACAGAACAAGUGCUUUUCUCACUACAUCAAGGCUGAACUGAAAGCAUUAUCAAAAAAGUCUGUGAACCUAAAUUUUAGUAAGUUUAAACUCCCACAGUAUUGUAGCAGAAGGGAUUGUGAGAAGGGGAUUAAACUGAC